rnacentral:rRNA from 1 species
CGCGUGUACUGGUCCGGCCGGGCCUUUCCCUCUGUGGAACCCCAUGCCCUUCACUGGGUGUGGCGGGGAAACAGGACUUUUACUGUGAAAAAAUUAGAGUGCUCCAGGCAGGCCUAUGCUCGAAUACAUUAGCAUGGAAUAAUAGAAUAGGACGUGUGGUUCUAUUUUGUUGGUUUCUAGGACCGCCGUAAUGAUUAAUAGGGACAGUCGGGGGCAUCAGUAUUCAAUUGUCAGAGGUGAAAUUCUUGGAUUUAUUGAAGACUAACUACUGCGAAAGCAUUUGCCAAGGAUGUUUUCAUUAAUCAGGAACGAAAGUUAGGGGAUCGAAGACGAUCAGAUACCGUCGUAGUCUUAACCAUAAACUAUGCCGACUAGGGAUCGGACGGUGUUAUAUUUUGACCCGUUCGGCACCUUACGAGAAAUCAAAGUGCUUGGGCUCCAGGGGGAGUAUGGUCGCAAGGCUGAAACUUAAAGAAAUUGACGGAAGGGCACCACCAGGGGUGGAGCCUGCGGCUUAAUUUGACUCAACACGGGGAAACUCACCAGGUCCAGACACAAUGAGGAUUGACAGAUUGAGAGCUCUUUCUUGAUUUUGUGGGUGGUGGUGCAUGGCCGUUCUUAGUUGGUGGAGUGAUUUGUCUGCUUAAUUGCGAUAACGAACGAGACCUUAACCUGCUAAAUAGCCCGUAUUGCUUUGGGCAGUACGCUGGCUUCUUAGAGGGACUAUCGG